rnacentral:rRNA from 1 species
CCUACGGGUGGCAGCAGUGAGGAAUAUUGGUCAAUGGGCGGGAGCCUGAACCAGCCAAGUCGCGUGAGGGAAGACGGUCCUAUGGAUUGUAAACCUCUUUAGGCGGGGAGCAAUGCCGGGCACGCGUGCCCGGAGGGCGAGUACCCGCAGAAUCAGCAUCGGCUAACUCCGUGCCAGCAGCCGCGGUAAUACGGGGGAUGCGAGCGUUAUCCGGUUUUAUUGGGGUUAAAGGGUGCGUAGGCGGAGUGUUAAGUCAGCGGUAAAAUGUCCGGGCUCAACCCGGGCCGGCCGUUGAAACUGGUGAGCUUGAGUGGGCGAGAAGUAUGCGGAAUUCGUGGUGUAGCGGUGAAAUGCAUAGAUAUCACGCAGAACUCCGAUUGCGAAGGCAGCCUGCUGGACUGUAACUGACGCUGAGGCUCGAAAGUGUGGGUAUCAAACAGGAUUAGAUACCCGGGUAGUC